rnacentral:rRNA from 1 species
GACGAACGCUGGCGGCGUGCUUAACACAUGCAAGUCGAACGCUGAAGCUUGGUGCUUGCACUGGGUGGAUGAGUGGCGAACGGGUGAGUAAUACGUGAGUAACCUGCCCUUGACUCUGGGAUAAGCCUGGGAAACUGGGUCUAAUACUGGAUACGACAUGUCACCGCAUGGUGGUGUGUGGAAAGGGUUUUACUGGUUUUGGAUGGGCUCACGGCCUAUCAGCUUGCUGGUGGGGUAAUGGCUCACCAAGGCGACGACGGGUAGCCGGCCUGAGAGGGUGACCGGCCACACUGGGACUGAGACACGGCCCAGACUCCUACGGGAGGCAGCAGUGGGGAAUAUUGCACAAUGGGCGGAAGCCUGAUGCAGCGACGCCGCGUGAGGGAUGACGGCCUUCGGGUUGUAAACCUCUUUCAGCAAGGAAGAAGCGAAAGUGACGGUACGUGCAGAAGAAGCGCCGGCUAACUACGUG